GGGGAGAAGAUACUAGCCAGGAGACUCGAACUUGAGACCUCCUAAUGAGCAUGGGCAUGAAGCGACCACAGCUCACCAAUUGCACUAAGCAGUUGUUGUUAGGAGGUAAGGA